UACGUAGGGGGCAAGCGUUGUCCGGAAUCAUUGGGCGUAAAGCGCGUGUAGGCGGCUAGGUAAGUCUGCUCUGAAAGCCCGGGGCUCAACCCCGGGAGGCGGGUGGAUACUGUCUAGCUCGAGUCCGGAAGAGGAGUGUGGAAUUCCUGGUGUAGCGGUGAAAUGCGCAGAUAUCAGGAGGAACACCUGUGGUGUAGACGGCUCUCUGGACAGUAACUGACGCUGAGACACGAAAGCGUGGGUAGCAAACAGG
rnacentral:rRNA from 1 species